rnacentral:rRNA from 1 species
CACGCCGUAAACGAUGAGUGCUAGGUGUUGGGUGUCAAAGCUCAGUGCCGCAGCUAACGCAAUAAGCACUCCGCCUGGGGAGUACGAUGGCAACAUUGAAACUCAAAGGAAUUGACGGGGACCCGCACAAGCAGCGGAGCAUGUGGUUUAAUUCGAUGCAACGCGAAGAACCUUACCAAGGCUUGACAUAUAGAGGAAACGGCCAGAGAUGGUCGCCCCGCAAGGUCUCUAUACAGGUGG